AAACAUGUCUGUGUGUAUUAGUUAUAAAGUCUAGCCUGCCCACUGAAUUGUUUAAAGGGCCGCGGUAAUUCGACCGUGCGAAGGUAGCAUAGUCAUUAGUCUUUUAAUUGAAGGCUUGAAUGAAUGGUUGGACGAAAGAUAGGCUGUCUUUUAUGUGUAAGUUGAAUUUAACUUUUAAGUGAAAAGGCUUGAAUAAAUUAGGGGGACGAUAAGACCCUAUAAAACUUGAUAUAAAUUUAGUUUUACUAGUGAUUUAAGUGAAAAGUGGUUUAAUUAAAGUUAUAUUUCGUUGGGGAGAUGUAAAUAUAAAUGUAACUGUUUAUAAAAUUAAAUAAUUAUUGUUAGUAGGUGAUCCUGCAUAUGCGGAUUGAGAAAAUAAGUUACUUUAGGGAUAACAGCGUAAUUUUCUUUGAGAGUUCUUAUCGACAAGAGUAGUUGCGACCUCGAAGUUGAAUUAAAAUUUUUAGCUAGGCGCAGCUGUUUAGCUGGAAGGUCUGUUCGACCUUUAAAAUUUUACAUGAUUUGAGUUCAAACCGGU
rnacentral:rRNA from 1 species